GUGCUCACUUCAGCAGCACAUACACUAGAGUUGGAACGAUACGGAGUUUAGCACGGCCCCUGAGCAAGGAUGAAACACAAAUGCACAAGGUGUUCCCUUUUUUU
rnacentral:snRNA from 1 species